rnacentral:rRNA from 1 species
CAUGGCAGCCAUAUCACCCUGUAGCCCAAGACUGGUUGCCCACUGAAGCUAAGCAGGGCUGAGCCUGGUCAGUACCUGGAUGGGAGACCUCCUGGGAAAACUAGGUUGCUGCUGGAA